CCAUAUUUAAUUUUAAAAAUAAAAUAAAAAAUCAGUGUAAUUUUACUCGGUCCAAAAAUUUUGUUUAAAAAUGCUUACUUUUAACUGAAAUAGAACACGUUAAGGACUUUCGUUAGCUCUUUGAUGCCCUUGUUGAUCUUGAAAAUCAUUGAUUCUCUAUGUCACCUUAAUUCUUGUUGUAAGGUCUGUAGCUGUUCUUUCAUCAUCUCCGUGUGGAUGUAGGGGGGGGGAGGGGCGUUUUUCAGCUGGCCGUGGGCGAUUCUUUUGAAGGGUUCUCUGACAGUUAUGCCUUCCACGUAGGCCAUUUUGUAAGUUUUUUUUUCAGGAAGGCUGGCGAGUCGUUGCUGUGUGUUUCGUGUGACUUGUUUUCAUAGUUUACGCAUCUCGUGGUAUAUUCCUGUUCUUUGUGGUGUGGUGUGCCCCAUUUAUUGGAUUUGUUGUGAGGGAGGGGAUUCACAUCUUGGUGUGGUGUGGACUAACCGCCAGCAUUUGUGACACCUUUAUGAGUUGGGUACAUACAUUUGUACACAAGAACACCAUCUUGACUCGUUCGGGUAAGAUGCAUUCGAACGUUAGCAGCACCAGGGGGAGGUACUUUACGUGUGUGACAAUUUGGUUAGCUAGUGCUUCCAGAAAGUCUUUAGUUGUAUGUUAAAGUAUUUUAUAAUUUCAUCUAUAUAAUAGGUCUCCUCUCCUUGUCUAAAGUAAAAGGGCUUUUAUCUCGCUUUUUUAGUUCUUUUAAGACCGUUUCAGCGGAUUUGGACAUAGCUUUACUCUGUUUAUGUGGGUUGUAUUACAUCAGCAUCUUUAAGCCACAAAACCCUAUCUGCCUUGGUGGUUAAAGUGUGAUUGUGGGUUAUGACUACAAAAAUUGUUUGAAAACCUUAGACCAUUCGGAAAAAAAGAUCGUGUUACCGGGAUGCAUUUUUGGCAUCCGAGCUACCACUCGGUUCAUCGGAAAAAACAAUAGCCGGAUUAUUUAUCAAUGCCCGAGCUACAGCUAUACGUUGGAGUUCUCCCCCAGACACAUCGGCUGGAAAACGAUGAUUCAGGUGGUGCAACCCAAGUAAAGUCAAUAUUUCACCUGCUUUUUGGUCUACUUCCUUUUUAUGGAAAUUGCCCAGAUAACAAGGCAGACAAACAUUUUCAAAAAGGCCAACGCCUACCUUUUAGCUGGGUUACCUCUAUACCUUCAUAUACUAUGGAGCCACUAUCUGGCUGAUCCAAGGUAGACAACAGAUAUAGCAACGUAGUCUUUCCAGCACCAGAAGGCCCUACAAUGGCGACCAUUUCUCCUGGUUGUAUGAUCAUACGUUUUACAUAUGUCCUUAGCAAUAGGCAUAUGGUUGAUUUUCAUACUGCAAUUGGGUACAUAAGGUCAAGAAAAGGUUUAUAUAUAGCACCAAGUUACUAAAUUUUGUCUAGAAUAGGCUUUAGGUUUAAGUUUACAUAAAAAAGCCAUUGAAGUAAAAAAUGAUGCAACGGCCUUAAUCAUCUAACCCUAUCUAUAACUGGCUGCUUAAGGCUUCUUUUAAUGCUUAAGUUUAUGCCUUUUAAUACAUGGAGAAACACCACUAGAUGAACCAUCUGAAUCAGUUUGCCUGCUUAUACAGGUACAUCUCAUAAAAUAGUUAUCAAUCCUAGAUCCAAUUCUUUUACAUCUAGCUGAUCCCCAUCUUUUAAAUGCAGAUUUCUUUUUAGGCACAACAGGUUCAACAUAGUGAACGCUGAUUUUUUAAGAUUCCUCUAUCGGCAUGUUUUGGCUUGAUAUAGACCCAUUGUGUAGGCACACUCCCAUCUGAACCCGCAUAAAAGGUAACCUGCUGCGUACAAUUUGCAUAAUAUAAAUAAACAGCAGGUACCUCCGAUACCCUCAACCCUGCACACCAAAUCCUGUUGAGCUGGACCGGAGAUAGAUAUGCUUCUAGGCCAUCCAUAACCUCCUGUUCAUCAGCAAACAUGGGUUUUGGAUUUGGACUUUCCACCAUAUAAUAAAAGAUCAAGUUAAGCGAAUCAUCUUUAAUCGAAGUUUGAUGCAUGAAAGCAAUAUGUAAAUGAUCCGCAGGAAACUUCGAUACCAAAGGCUUCCGCAUCAGAUUCCAUUCCUCCUGGUUUGGAAUCGGCAAUACAUCUUGUUCUAUGCUACCUGUAAACACCUUCAUUUUUUCAAAAAACACUACCUUUCCACCAACCAUCUCAGCUGAUAAAGACAUAUAGGCCGAUGAUUAUAGGGAAUUUCUAGGGGAAGGCUACUGCUUGUAUAAUUAAACAAUGGAUGCUCACUUGUAAGAAAAGAAAAAAAUGAUCCCGGGUAAUUUUUUCAUACUUUCUUCCGUGAAUUGGCUUGUAUCUAUAAUAAGCUGAUUCAGAUCACCUUGCGCUAGACGGGCCAGUACAAUACUUUUUCUAGUAGCACGUGCUAGACCAAUCCCCCUUUUCAAUCUUGCAUACAGUUGCAUGGACGUUUCUACAUCUGUGAAAUCUACGAUAACAGCAUCUCCCAAUCUAUGGCUACUUGUGGAUGUUUUACUAUAAUGGCUAACAGGUAAAAGGUAGUAAAACAGGUAUAGGUAGGACGGUUUUAAUUUGCACUUGAUUUGUUGGAUCUGAAACAAGCACUGGUUUAUGCUGAGUACGCACACUGGAACCAGAAUCAGAACCCGAACCAUUCAUCCCGAACCAUUCAUACCAGAUCAUUUGGCACAGCUAAAUCUGAAUUUUCUAGAUUGAAUAUCGCAUCUUCGAAAACUUCGGAAAUUGUUGUUCAUAAUUCAACGCAAUAAAAGGUAAGUUGAUGUCAAAAACUGAAAAAGAAUGAAUCACAAUAGAACGAGGAUGCAGUUCAGGUCUAUCGCCUUUUCUAGCCAAUGCAUAAGCUCUUGCUCCUUUCACCUUAACAGCUAAAUAGAUUGGGGGUAUCUGCGCUAUAGUGACCAUAAUAGAAGCUGCUGCAACCUCUACCAUGCUUCUAUCAAUUGGGCUAUAGCUACAGUGGCUAUCAAAAGGCGUCUCUAAAUCCAUAGAGAAAGUGGUCUUAACCAGUACAAUAUGGUCGGUAUAUAUAGACCUUAUUGAGUUCCUGAUGGACGUGAUGGCUACUAAUUUAUUUAGUAGCCCUGUCGAUAAAAAGCAACAGUAAGCCUGAGGCCAAAGGAUAUAAUGUACCUACAUGACCUAUCUUUUUUAGCUUUAACAGAGAACGGACCUUUUAUACUACAUCAAAAGAAGUACAAUCCGGUGGCUUAUAGACCAUAAGAAUAGCAUCUGAGUAGGCCUCCUGAUGCAACCAGCUCAACGGGACUAAUUCUUUUGCGAUUGACCAUAGUUGGUUACCAUAUACCAUGAAUAUUGAGCAGAAAUUUCACUACCUGUAGUCGAUAAAGCAACGACGCAAUAUGCAGGUAGGUAGGCUAUUGUCAUAUUAUCCCUAUAGUUGAUAUCUAUUUGUUUAGAUUGGAUAAACAAAUCCAUUACAUCCAAAUGACCUUGUAAUAAGGCAUAAUGCAAAAGCGUAUACCAUUGCUGAUCAACAACAUCAAUCCGGGCUUAUAAAGAAGCGAUUUCAAUUAGUUUUACCAAUUUUGUAUACCCUUCCCUAGAAGCCAUAUGCAGCAGUGAACAUUUCAAAUAGUUUUCAUGUUCUUUAUAAAUCAGUUGCUCAUUAGGGUCACUCCUAGGAAAUAUUUGACAACAACUGCCACAUUGUUGAUUGGGUUGUGCAUCCAUUCUUUUAUAAACAGAUGAUGGAACGGCAGAACAAUCCUCUUGUACAUUGAAAGGUGGAGAAUUUAUUUUAGAAAUAGUUCUUACAAGAGGCCACCAAAAAAGGAUGGAACAAACCAGACGGGGAUUAUCUAACGGGAACAAAUUUUGCAAAUUACCCGUCCAGGAAACACUACAACCGGGGGGGGGGGGUUUACCCCCACGUUGCUCAAGUAGAAUUAGACAAACUCAUCACAAAAAACAAGUGAAAAAAAAGAGUAUACGUAUCCCAAAGGAUACCAACAUGCAUGUACACUGCUGGUGUUCCUCCAAAAUGGAUUAAGUAUGUUCAAAUAUUUUUUUUAAAUUUAUUUUUACAUUUUUGGUAUUCAUAUCUUAUUUUUAUUUUACGGAAUACAACAUCACCAUCAUAAAUUCGAUAAAGGACUACGAAGUCACAGUUGAUUAUAUGAAACUGUUUGAAACCCUCUAUCGUAGCGAAAAAGUUACUGGAUACAUUUUCCGCCAAAAGGAAGAAAUUCCAGUUGUUGCUGAGCAGCUACCUGUCAGUUCUUUCACAGCAACAAAUGGUGUUGAAUAUUCAAGUAGCGACGUACGCUACAAGAACCGACCAAUGGAGGGAUAUGUAGUGUUUUUUUAAGGCGCCACAGACAAAAUGGAAAGUUUCAAGAAAUCGGCCGAGUCAGAAGAGGCAAGAAAAAAAGAAGAAGAGAAGAAAAAGAUGGAAAUCAAUGAUUUAAGGCAGCAGUUUGAUCUUUUGGGAGUUCAACAGUCCAAAAUCAAAAGUGAGAUGGCGAUACUUCAAGAAGAGAAGAUGAAAUCUGUUGCGUUGUCCAAAUUGAAUUAGACAAGAUCAUCAAGAAAAAAUUCUGGGUUAAAAAAGAGUAUACUUAUCCUAAGAGAAAUGAGUAUGCUUGUACAUUGCUGGUGUAUUUA
rnacentral:lncRNA from 1 species